GGCUGUGUGGGGUAGUGGUUUGAGCAAUGGACUGUGACUCUGGAGACUAGAGUUUGAAUCCUCACUCAGCCA